rnacentral:lncRNA from 1 species
UUUUUUUUUUUUUCUUCUGUGACACGGUUUCAUUCUGUCACCCAGGCUGGAGUGCAGUUGUGCAAUCAUGGCUCACCACAGCCUCAAACCCCUGGGCUCAGGUGAUCCUCCCACCUCAGCCUCCCCAGUAGCUGGGACUACAGGGGUACACCACCAAGCCCUGGGUAAUUUUUAAAAUUUUUAUAGAGACUGGGUUUUUCCAUAUUUCCCAGGCUGGUCUUGAAUUCCUGGGCUCUAGUGAUUCCUCUGACUUGGCCUCCCAAAGUGCUGGGAUUACAGGCAUGAGCCACCACACCCAGCUGCUUGUUAAGCUUGAGAAUAGAGUUGCUGGCCGUCCUUCUGUAAGCUCUCAGUCUGUCUGCAGAGGCCAGCCUCAAGGUAACUGUUUCCGCUGCUCAGAUGGGCCCAAGCAGGGGGAUCCCAGGUGUGAUAUUGGGUACAUUGGUCAUCCGUCUGCCUCCCACCUGGAUGGAAAGAGUCUGAGAUACACACUUACCUACGUCCUCUUUCCCAGCAUUGGACUUGAAUGCUGCUGUUGGUGCACAUUUCUGCAGACGUGUCUCUGGCUCUCAGGAUGCAGAAUGUCGGUGGGUCCAGUGUGGGGGCUGCCAAAGGGGGUGUCAUGUGCUCUGUGGAUUUUUGUGUGAUUGUAAUGGUCCCAGCUGAAGUUCUCCUGCUUGUUGCAGUAAAACCUCUCUUCAGUGUCUGUUACCUUUCUCUAUAUUCUUGGUGAAGGAGAGAGAUAGUCAUAAGGGCCCUGAAUGAGGUAAGAAGAGAAGAUGCUGUUCUCUGCUUCCUCCCCGCCACCAGCAUUCCUUCUGCCCUGUUUUUCCUGGCCAGCUCUACUCUGGGCAGUCCAAGCCUGUGAACCAGCCACACCCAGGAUCUGUGCUGGAGCUCAGUCCCAGACUGUUCUGGUAGAGUCGCCCAGAGGAGCCGUGUGGUCUCCCAUUCAGCAACAGAGUACGAGAUGGUCUCUCUGAAGGGCAGAGGGUCUAAGCACUGCCCUCUUCCUAGCUUCUAAGGCUGAAAUGCUGAAUGAUGCAAUGAGAGGAUUCCAGGGGAGAAAAGGAGCUGUACAUGGGCUUGAUUCUUCUCUCCCCAGCUGGUGGACACAGCACCAGAGGUGGAGCUGGAGGCCAGGCCCUCCACUGACCCACGUGUACUCCACUUUGCAGUUGUACCCCGGGACACACUUCUAUCUCAAAGUGUUAUGAAUUCCAACCACUGGACUCUACCCUACUUCUGACAUAAUCUUCUUGGGUUGAUAGUAGCCUCUCUCAUUACUGAAUACUUCUUCUUAUGUGUAGCCCUGGUUAGUCAUUUUCUUUUAACUUUUUGUUUAAAGAAAACCUGUAGAUAUGAGCUUUCUGUCAGAGAUGAUCUCUCCAGGCCUGAGUCUAAACUGUUGACCCUCUGUCAGAGAAUGAGGGCUGGCUCUUGCAUUUCAGGCGCUUUGACAUUUACUGAGGGAAAGAAGGAGCCAAGUUCUCCUAUGGCUCCUAUGCUCAUGGAGGGAGUGAGCAUAAAGCACUGACCUGAGUGGAAUGGCGGGUUGACUUGCCAGAGCCUGGAGAUGAUUACACUCUGUCAGCUUUGAGACAAGCUGUCCAAUUUCCCCAAAACCAAUUUGACAAUUGUCGAGUGACCAAUUUGCUGAAUUAGAAGAAUUUACUAAUUUACCAAAUUACGUAUUUCUUUUAUGCAUUUCUAAAGACUUGAGCAAUUGGCAUGGGCUGGGUUGGCAGGGCCUGAAAGGGUUGGAGCA